AGACGUUCACAUGGCAACCUGAUAUCAUCUAAUAUGUCCUUCGCCGGAACGAAUACCUUGGAAAAUAGACUAUAUGAAAUAGCUUUUGACAACAAUCAGAUAACUACAUUGAAAAAGAAUGACUUUAGUAAAUACACAGAUUUGCGUGUUUUAUCACUACGCAAGAACCAAAUAACAACAAUAGAAAUUGGGGCUUUGCCUUCUCCUGAAAAUCUCGAAGUUUUG